UACGUAGGGUGCGAGCGUUGUCCGGAAUUAUUGGGCGUAAAGGGCUCGUAGGCGGUCUGUUGCGUCGGGAGUGAAAACUCAGGGCUUAACCCUGAGCCUGCUUCCGAUACGGGCAGACUAGAGGUAUGCAGGGGAGAACGGAAUUCCUGGUGUAGCGGUGAAAUGCGCAGAUAUCAGGAGGAACACCGGUGGCGAAGGCGGCCCCCUGGACCGGUACUGACGCUGAGGCGCGAAAGCGUGGGUAGCAAACGGG
rnacentral:rRNA from 1 species